GUAAAUCAUGAAAAUACUACUUGUACAGUCAGGGUACCGUUUAGUUCGAGUAUAAGCAAGAACUAGCUAUUAUAGGGAUAGAUACAAGUAAAUAUAUGGAGAUAAAAAAAAAUAGCGUUUGGAUGAAAAUUAAGUUGUUCCCGGAGAUAAGAAAAAUACCGUUUGGAUAGAUAAUAUGGAAUAAAAAAAAUAAUUGAUAGUUAUAUAUAGAAAAUGAAGGUGUUGGUGAAAAUAGUUAUACCAGAUUAUUUUAGAUAUCCAAGAACUACUAUUCUCGGAUAAAAAUUUGCGUUUAGGUAUAAAGAGGGAUAAGAAGUUAU
rnacentral:lncRNA from 1 species